rnacentral:rRNA from 1 species
AUUGAACGCUGGCGGCAUGCCUUACACAUGCAAGUCGAACGGUAACGGGUCCUUCGGGAUGCCGGCGAGUGGCGAACGGGUGAGUAAUAUAUCGGAACGUGCCCAGUAGUGGGGGAUAACUGCUCGAAAGAGCAGCUAAUACCGCAUACGACCUGAGGGUGAAAGGGGGGGAUCGCAAGACCUCUCGCUAUUGGAGCGGCCGAUAUCAGAUUAGCUAGUUGGUGGGGUAAAGGCCUACCAAGGCAACGAUCUGUAGUUGGUCUGAGAGGACGACCAGCCACACUGGGACUGAGACACGGCCCAGACUCCUACGGGAGGCAGCAGUGGGGAAUUUUGGACAAUGGGCGCAAGCCUGAUCCAGCAAUGCCGCGUGCAGGAAGAAGGCCUUCGGGUUGUAAACUGCUUUUGUCAGGGAAGAAAUCUUCUGGGCUAAUACCCCGGGAGGAUGACGGUACCUGAAGAAUAAGCACCGGCUAACUACGUGCCAGCAGCCGCGGUAAUACGUAGGGUGCGAGCGUUAAUCGGAAUUACUGGGCGUAAAGCGUGCGCAGGCGGCUUUGCAAGACAGAUGUGAAAUCCCCGGGCUCAACCUGGGAGCUGCAUUUGUGACUGCAAGGCUAGAGUACGGCAGAGGGGGAUGGAAUUCCGCGUGUAGCAGUGAAAUGCGUAGAUAUGCGGAGGAACACCAAUGGCGAAGGCAAUCCCCUGGGCCUGUACUGACGCUCAUGCACGAAAGCGUGGGGAGCAAACAGGAUUAGAUACCCUGGUAGUCCACGCCCUAAACGAUGUCAACUGGUUGUUGGACGGCUUGCUGUUCAGUAACGAAGCUAACGCGUGAAGUUGACCGCCUGGGGAGUACGGCCGCAAGGUUGAAACUCUAAGGAAUUGACGGGGACCCGCACAAGCGGUGGAUGAUGUGGUUUAAUUCGAUGCAACGCGAAAAACCUUACCUACCCUUGACAUGUCAAGAAUUCUGCAGAGAUGUGGAAGUGCUCGAAAGAGAACUUGAACACAGGUGCUGCAUGGCCGUCGUCAGCUCGUGUCGUGAGAUGUUGGGUUAAGUCCCGCAACGAGCGCAACCCUUGUCAUUAGUUGCUACGCAAGAGCACUCUAAUGAGACUGCCGGUGACAAACCGGAGGAAGGUGGGGAUGACGUCAGGUCCUCAUGGCCCUUAUGGGUAGGGCUACACACGUCAUACAAUGGCCGGUACAGAGGGCUGCCAACCCGCGAGGGGGAGCCAAUCCCAGAAAACCGGUCGUAGUCCGGAUCGUAGUCUGCAACUCGACUGCGUGAAGUCGGAAUCGCUAGUAAUCGCGGAUCAGCUUGCCGCGGUGAAUACGUUCCCGGGUCU